GCAAGUCGAACGAACUCUGGUAUUGAUUGGUGCUUGCAUCAUGAUUUACAUUUGAGUGAGUGGCGAACUGGUGAGUAACACGUGGGAAACCUGCCCAGAAGCGGGGGAUAACACCUGGAAACAGAUGCUAAUACCGCAUAACAACUUGGACCGCAUGGUCCGAGUUUGAAAGAUGGCUUCGGCUAUCACUUUUGGAUGGUCCCGCGGCGUAUUAGCUAGAUGGUGGGGUAACGGCUCACCAUGGCAAUGAUACGUAGCCGACCUGAGAGGGUAAUCGGCCACAUUGGGACUGAGACACGGCCCAAACUCCUACGGGAGGCAGCAGUAGGGAAUCUUCCACAAUGGACGAAAGUCUGAUGGAGCAACGCCGCGUGAGUGAAGAAGGGUUUCGGCUCGUAAAACUCUGUUGUUAAAGAAGAACAUAUCUGAGAGUAACUGUUCAGGUAUUGACGGUAUUUAACCAGAAAGCCACGGCUAACUACGUGCCAGCAGCCGCGGUAAUACGUAGGUGGCAAGCGUUGUCCGGAUUUAUUGGGCGUAAAGCGAGCGCAGGCGGUUUUUUAAGUCUGAUGUGAAAGCCUUCGGCUCAACCGAAGAAGUGCAUCGGAAACUGGGAAACUUGAGUGCAGAAGAGGACAGUGGAACUCCAUGUGUAGCGGUGAAAUGCGUAGAUAUAUGGAAGAACACCAGUGGCGAAGGCGGCUGUCUGGUCUGUAACUGACGCUGAGGCUCGAAAGUAUGGGUAGCAAACAGGAUUAGAUACCCUGGUAGUCCAUACCGUAAACGAUGAAUGCUAAGUGUUGGAGGGUUUCCGCCCUUCAGUGCUGCAGCUAACGCAUUAAGCAUUCCGCCUGGGGAGUACGGCCGCAAGGCUGAAACUCAAAGGAAUUGACGGGGGCCCGCACAAGCGGUGGAGCAUGUGGUUUAAUUCGAAGCUACGCGAAGAACCUUACCAGGUCUUGACAUACUAUGCAAAUCUAAGAGAUUAGACGUUCCCUUCGGGGACAUGGAUACAGGUGGUGCAUGGUUGUCGUCAGCUCGUGUCGUGAGAUGUUGGGUUAAGUCCCGCAACGAGCGCAACCCUUAUUAUCAGUUGCCAGCAUUAAGUUGGGCACUCUGGUGAGACUGCCGGUGACAAACCGGAGGAAGGUGGGGAUGACGUCAAAUCAUCAUGCCCCUUAUGACCUGGGCUACACACGUGCUACAAUGGAUGGUACAACGAGUUGCGAACUCGCGAGAGUAAGCUAAUCUCUUAAAGCCAUUCUCAGUUCGGAUUGUAGGCUGCAACUCGCCUACAUGAAGUCGGAAUCGCUAGUAAUCGCGGAUCAGCAUGCCGCGGUGAAUACGUUCCCGGGCCUUGUACACACCGCCCGUCACACCAUGAGAGUUUGUAACACCCAAAGUCGGUGGGGUAACCUUUUAGGAA
rnacentral:rRNA from 2 species